AACCCGUAGAUCCGAACUUGUGUUGUUAAAUAGUCUAACCACAAGGUCGAUUCUAUGGGUCCA
rnacentral:pre_miRNA from 1 species